UACGAAGGGGGCUAGCGUUGCUCGGAAUCACUGGGCGUAAAGGGUGCGUAGGCGGGUUUUUAAGUCAGGGGUGAAAUCCUGGAGCUCAACUCCAGAACUGCCUUUGAUACUGAAGAUCUCGAGUCCGGGAGAGGUGAGUGGAACUGCGAGUGUAGAGGUGAAAUUCGUAGAUAUUCGCAAGAACACCAGUGGCGAAGGCGGCUCACUGGCCCGGUACUGACGCUGAGGAGCGAAAGCGUGGGGAGCAAAAGGG
rnacentral:rRNA from 1 species